UAAGAUGUACCAACGUGAAAAACAGAAUUGAAAUGGAGAUACACAGGCAGUGCGGCCCACGGAGAACUGAGUGAAGGAGACGGGUGAGAGGAAGUAUUUCCCAGAAUUCCAAGGAAGAAAAGCACAGACAAGCCACCGCAUCCUUCUGCCUCUUUUUAAAACCUCUCACCAUAGAGGAAGAAACGCAGUGUGAGGAUCAAGGGGGAAAGAAAGUGAAAAUGUCCUGCGACUUUCCCCAGGAGACCAAUGUUCCCCACAGAAACAGCAAGUCAAAAUAAACCCUCUCUUCGAUGUUUA
rnacentral:lncRNA from 1 species